rnacentral:rRNA from 1 species
AUUGAACGCUGGCGGCAGGCUUAACACAUGCAAGUCGAACGAGUGGCGGACGGGUGAGUAAUUCUUGGGAAUCUGGCUUAUGGAGGGGGAUAACUACGGGAAACUGUAGCUAAUACCGCGUACCAUAGGAUGAGCCCACGUGGGAUUAGGUAGUUGGUGAGGUAAAGGCUCACCCAGCCGACGAUCGCUAGCUGGGCUGAGAGGAUGACCAGCCACACUGGGACUGAGACACGGCCCAGACUCCGACGGGAGGCAGCAGUGGGGAAUAUUGCGCAAUGGGGGCAACCUGACGCAGCCAUGCCGCGUGAAUGAAGAAGGCCUUCGGGUUGUAAAGUUCUUUCGGUAGCGAGGCGUUAACUACAGAAGAAGCACCGGCUAACUCCGUGCCAGCAGCCGCGGUAAUAC